rnacentral:rRNA from 1 species
AUGAUCUACCUUGAUCAAGGUGAAGUCAGUGUAACAGCUGAUGGAGGCCUGAACCGGUGUUGGUUGAAAACAGCUCUGAUGAAUUGAGGGUAGGGGUGAAAGGCUAAUCAAAUUCCGUGAUAGCUCGUUCUCUCCGGAAAUAGGCUUUAGGGCUAGCCUUGUAUGGACCGUCUUGGUGGUAGAGAUCUGAAUGGACUAGGGGCCUUCCCAGGUUACCGAAUCCAACCAAACUUCGAAUGCCGAGAACGAAUAUACAGGAGUCAGACAGCGGGGGCUAAGCUUCGUUGUCAAAAGGGGAAGAGCCCAGACCGCCAACUAAAGGUCCCCAAAUAUACACUAAGUGGGAAAAGGAAGUCGGGAGGCUAUGACAGCCAGGAGGUUGGCUUAGAAGCAGCCAUCCUUUAAAGAAAGCGUAAUAGCUCACUGGUCGAGCCGCCCGGUACCGACAAUCCAACGGGGC